UGGAGACAGAAAAGAGGGGAGGGGAGAUGGGAGCGCAGCAUAUUAGGGAACAUGAGGAGAGAGGGAGUCGAGUUUAGGAGAGGCAUCGAGUGACCUCGUCCCUCUCCAUUGUUAGAGAACUGAAGGGUGAGGCUGGCUAGAGGCCACCAAAGGGGUAGAAUACAUUAGAGAGCAGCCAAGAAGAGAAAGGAAAAACAUGCUUUCUAAUCUGCAGUCAGUUACAGAGUUUCAGAUUCACCAUCACUAGAAGAGAACGCGCAAAAUACUUUUUCCAUGUUUGCAGCGGGAGGAAACAGAUGCUUGUGAGGAGCAAGGAUGAACGGGAAGAGGAAGUGCAGGAAGCGUCUGGAGAGGACGGGGGGGAAACAGGUGGCGCGGCGGUGGGGGGAGCCUCUGAUGAGCACAUGGAGAUCUGACUGUGAGGAAUGUAGAUGCUAGAAGACGGUGUAGGUCAGUGGAGGAUGGAACCAUCUAGUGCCAAUGUUCUCUGUCAGAACAGGAAGUACAGCUGUGGAGGAUGGAGCGUUUUCUGUCUAGAUUGAGCGUGAGCUCUGCUCCGCGUCCACUGAGCAGGAACCGGUGAAGGAGUCCUGCAGGUGCCUCACCACAGCCUGGUUCCAGCGCGUGAAGAAAGCAAAGGCGACAAAGGAAGGGCAGGAAGGACCCCCGAGCCCCUCGCCCGGGCAGCCAUCUGCUCCAAAGCCCUUCCUGUGGCUCCACAGGCCCCCACAAACCAGCUUCAACACACAGUGUGCCAUAAAAAUAGCAAACGCACAAGAAUACGCUACUAAACGAAGCCAAAUGCGUCUUAAUGUUGUCUGAUCUCUUCCCCCGACGUGAUUUGCCCCCCCUGCGACACACGUGUUCUGUCCUGGUCACAGCAGAGGGAGCCCCCGCCGCUGCUCCGCCUCGUCUCCUCCUUCCCUCCGGUGAUGAAUCGGCGGCGGGCGAUGAUGACGGAUGCGGCCGCGCCAAGGAAUCUGGAUAUUAGCCCUGAAUAUGAAGCAGCGGAGGCCGGGACACGGGUUCUCAUCCAGCGCCUAGUCGUUUUAGUCAGGAAUCGACUCCAAAGCAAACCUUAGCCAGCCCUGUAGCCCACGCGCUAGCAUCGGGGAGUCCUUGAGCAAGACACUCGAGCACAACUUCUCCCAGGCCAAAAGACCAGUAAUGGUUCAGGUAAGUCUGCUUGUUACCGCCGAUAUAAUGUUGUCGUUACAGCACAUCAUUAUAUCUCAGUGAAAGUGAUCUCCAUCUUGGCUGUGACAUUCAGCGCGGCCAGCCGUCAGAUCAAUAACCUGGUAAUGAUGCCCUGUGAGGAUUUU
rnacentral:lncRNA from 1 species